rnacentral:rRNA from 1 species
UACAGGGGGUGCGAGCGUUAAUCGGAAUUACUGGGUGUAAAGGGCGCGUAGGCGGCAUUGUAAGUGCGAUGUGAAAGCCCCGGGCUUAACCUGGGAAGAGCAUUGCAUACUGUGAUGCUGGAGUACAUGAGAGGGUGGCGGAAUUUCCGGUGUAGCGGUGAAAUGCGUAGAUAUCGGAAGGAACAUCAGUGGCGAAAGCGACUUCCUGGACCAAUACUGACGCUCAUGUGCGAAAGCGUGGGGAGCAAACAGG